GAAUAUAAAGCAAAAUUUGCAAUCGGUUUCGGCCCGAUCCUUGGUCUCCCCCCCCCCCGACCUUUAUUCU
rnacentral:tRNA from 1 species